rnacentral:rRNA from 1 species
CGGCAUCAGCUCAAAUUUGAAAUCUGGCUCUUUCAGGGUCCGAGUUGUAAUUUGCAGAGGGAGCUUUCGAGUUGGCAGCGGUCUAAGUUCCUUGGAACAGGACGUCACAGAGGGUGAGAGCCCCGUACGGUUGGACGCCUAGCCU